GUAUUUUCUCUUUUUUGACAAAACAGAUUGACGCUCUGUCGGCUCGUGUGCAGAGUAUUCUUGCUGUUUGGGGGAGAAGAUAUUCAUGGACGUCGAGGGCUUUGGUGUUUUUAUGUUAUGUGAUAUGACUAACUGCAAAGAUGCCUAAAAAAGAGAGGAGAAUCAAACAAACAAAGAAUGAGCUGCUUGAGGCCUCAAAAGGCAGUGGAUCCAGUUCCAGCUGGUUUAUGAAAAGCACAACGGAUUUAAAAACCUUGCAGCUCUUGGUGUGCAGCAGCCACUGUAAGCAAUCACCCUUGGCAUCAACUGCAGCACUACAGUAG